AUUGAACGCUGGCGGCAGGCCUAACACAUGCAAGUCGAACGAGUGGCGGACGGGUGAGUAAUGUCUGGGAAACUGCCUGAUGGAGGGGUAUAACUACUGGAAACGGUAGCUAAUACCGCAUACCAUCGGAUGUGCCCAGAUGGGAUUAGCUUGUUGGUGGGGUAACGGCUCACCAAGGCGACGAUCCCUAGCUGGUCUGGGAGGAUGAUCAGCCAAACUGGAGCUGGGACACGGUCCAGACUCCUACGGGAGGCAGCAGUGGGGAAUAUUGCACAAUGGGCGCAAGCCUGAUGCAGCCAUGCCGCGUGUGUGAAGAAGGCCGUCGGGUUGUAAAGCACUUUCAGCGGGGAAGCGUUACCCGCAGAAGAAGCACCGGCUAACUCCGUGCCAGCAGCCGCGGUAAUAC
rnacentral:rRNA from 1 species